UGGGGAAUUUUGGACAAUGGGCGAAAGCCUGAUCCAGCAAUGCCGCGUGUGUGAAGAAGGCCUUCGGGUUGUAAAGCACUUUUGUCCGGAAAGAAAUCCUUGGCUCUAAUACAGUCGGGGGAUGACGGUACCGGAAGAAUAAGCACCGGCUAACUACGUGCCAGCAGCCGCGGUAAUACGUAGGGUGCAAGCGUUAAUCGGAAUUACUGGGCGUAAAGCGUGCGCAGGCGGUUUGCUAAGACCGAUGUGAAAUCCCCGGGCUCAACCUGGGAACUGCAUUGGUGACUGGCAGGCUAGAGUAUGGCAGAGGGGGGUAGAAUUCCACGUGUAGCAGUGAAAUGCGUAGAGAUGUGGAGGAAUACCGAUGGCGAAGGCAGCCCCCUGGGCCAAUACUGACGCUCAUGCACGAAAAGCGUGGGGAGCAAAACAGGAUUAGAUACCCUGGUAGUCCACGCCCUAAAACGAUGUCAACUAGUUGUUGGGGAUUCAUUUCCUUAGUAACGUAGCUAACGCGUGAAGUUGACCGCCUGGGGAGUACGGUCGCAAGAUUAAAAACUUAAAUGAAUUGACGGGG
rnacentral:rRNA from 1 species